ACUAUGCUGCUUCUCUUCCAGGACUGUGCACUCAACCUCUGUAACAAUGAGGAACCAUCAUGUUUUCUGCAUUUAUUGGAGUUCAUAAAGAAAAGAAAAUAUAGUUUAUUCUGAUGCACAGUCCAGUAACAGAAGAAGCAUUGCUAUCUUGCUGGAAUUGAAGACUGCAGCACCUACCUCAUGCCUAACAUCAUCUGGGAUUUACAAACUCCCUGAUGCUCCCCAAGAGCAUUGACUUCAGUACAGAUCUAAAGGUGUGGAGGAUGCUUUUCAUAAUAUGGAGUUCAGAAAAAGAGGGGUUAUAAAGAUCUUAUGACGAAAUGUAGAUAUUUUUGUCUUUAGAGUUCCAGAGCAGUACCUUUCUGACAGCCCAUUUCACCCAGUCCAGUAUUCUCCCAUUACAUUCUUAUGAAAGAAUUAUUACAUUCUUUGAAAUAGACUGAAAGAAAAGGAUGACCAAGUGCAGCUUGAGGACUGGAUUGGAAAAAAAGUGGGGUGAUGACAGAAAAAAGA